GGGGUCUCGGGCAGGGGCGGGGAGCUUACCGACCUCCCGCCCCCGCUGCGCGCGUUUCUGGCCCUGCCAGUGUCUCCGCCGGUUGAAAGCGCGUGUCUGCGUCGGGUUCUGUUGGAGUGCGUUCGGUGCGCCGUGGGUCCGCGCUGCUUCCACCCAACUUCCUGUUAGUUUCUCUCCUGUCACAAUGGCAUGAUCUCGGCUCACUGCGACCUCUGCUUCCUGGGUUCAAGGAUUCUCCUGCCUCAGCCUCCCAAGUAGCUGGGAUUACAGUUUCCAUCAUUAUCUUCUAUGGAGUUCUUCAUUCCCACAUCUGUGGACCUUAAAAUCCUACCGUUGAGUGCCUGCCUUGGAUCAGCAGUCAGUUCGUUACCUUGGUUCUCAGACGAUGCUUGCAACAACGCCAUGCGAUUCGCCCACUCUUGGGUUACAUUAGUUAUACACUCUGGAGGUGACUUGACCUGUCAUUGUGAACAAUUAUUGCUCUUGGACGACCCAGGACAUAGGCCAGCCAGUACGUACCCCAGUGUGUUGGAGAAUCGCGCUCGGCUUCUUCCUCUGUGCUGAGUCAUGAAAGUUGCCGGAGCAGGUGCAGUUACACAACCUCCAGGUAUGAUCCUGUUUAAGGACUGGAUUUAGGAUAACUACUUAGAGGUUAAAAGUCACAAGGGUGUAUGGAUGAGGCUGGAGUGAUCUGGGACCAAAGACAUCUAGGCUUGCUGUCAAGGCUUCUGAUCAACAUGAGAUGACCGCCGUGUGGUAAACUGAUGAACCCUGACCCUGAUCAACAUGAGAUGACCGCCGUGUGGUAAACUGAUGAACCCCGACCCUGAUGAACGUGAGAUGACCGCCGUGUGGUAAACUGAUGAACCCCGACCCUGAUGAACGUGAGAUGACCGCCGUGUGGUAAACUGAUGAACCCCGACCCUGAUGAACGUGAGAUGACCGCCGUGUGGUAAACUGAUGAACCCCGACCCUGAUGAACGUGAGAUGACCGCCGUGUGGUAAACUGAUGAACCCCGACCCUGAUCAACGUGAGAUGACCGCCGUGUGGUAAACUGAUGAACCCCGACCCUGAUGAACAUGAGAUGACCGCCGUGUGGUAAACUGAUGAACCCCGACCCUGAUCAACAUGAGAUGACCGCCGUGUGGUAAACUGAUGAACCCCGACCCUGAUCAACAUGAGAUGACUGCCGUGUGGUAAACUGAUGAACCCUGACCCAUUAGGCUUUGGCUACAGAAUGUGGAAAUAAGUUGUGUUACUACAUGUGUGUAAUCCUAGGGUGCAGGACACCGGCCGGGAGGUUCCAUAGAGUGAUGGGUUCUGCAGGUAACUCAUCCUCUAGUCCUCUGUAAGCUCCUAGAAGGAAGAAAUUAUGUCCUUUAGACUAAUAAAAUUCCUCCAAACCAAAUACAGCACCUACUGUGAAGACACAAAGAUACUUUUAGAAUAGUAAAAACUUUAUCCAUUGAGAAAUUCCUUAAUGAAACAGUAUCCAAGAAGUCAUUUGCCAGCAGAUUUCUUAGAGGUGCGAUAAAGAAGAGGACAUUGCCAGUCGUCACAGCAGCUGCAAUAGCUCCUCUCUAUUGUUAAACAGUGGGAUAUCUUGUGCAGGUUUUCAGUUGACAAUCAAUUUUAAAGAUUAGUUUCGGUCCCCAUCAAUCAAUUAUUUAUUAACCCAUCAAUAAAAAUUUAAAUGCUCUGUGAGGUACAAUAGCUAUUAAAAGAGACAGAGGCACUUUCUGUGUCCAGAGGGGCUUUUAGUCUGCUCUGGAAAGCAAGAUGCGUGCAGAUGAGUGACGCAGUGCAUCGUGUGGAUGCAAAGGGAGGGACUCACAUGGGAACCAGAGGAGCUACGAAGGGAGGCAGUGGGGACUGGUGGGUCGAGACCUGGAAAUAACACAUGAAUAGGCAACAAAGGUUUCCUUUCCUCUUCCAUGCACUUCAGUCCUUGAAAAACGUCUUACCACGGAAUUCCACAGCGUACCAAGCGAUUCCACAGCUUGAUGGCACACUCUCCUUUCUCAGCAUUCUUGAAAAUGGCGUGUGAGCCAAGCCAUCUUACUGAGAAAUUACCUUAAACCAUUUGAUGAACCAAAAAUAUUUUGUAAUACCCAUCUCCGACAUUAGGUAGGCAAAUCACACAGAAACACCGAGGUCUUCUGAGUCAUAUUUAUCUGAAAAAUCACAGCUUGGGUGCAUGUGAAGCCAGAGGAGCACUCCUGGGGCCUGCGGUGCCAUCACUCAGCUCCCCUGGGCUUCACAUGGCCAUGGAGCACCCAGCAAGUGUAGGCUCUGAGCCUUCAGGGAGGGGCGGCAUCAGCCAGCACCAUCGUCUCCUGGGUCUUGUGCCUCUUCCUUGGUUGCGGUGUUGUCAGGGCCAGAAUUGGGCAAUUCCGGGUGACAUCCAGGUGUGGCUGCUGACACGGAGCACAGGUGAGGUUCACUGAGGACACCCUGCUCCUGUGGUUUGCAGCCCCGGCCUUCUCUUCGAGGACGCCUCUGCUCUUCUGCCUCACACUCGGAUUGGACCUUCUUCAGCACAGCCAGUGGCCGAGGCUUCCUCCCUGGGGCUCAGUGGAGCAGGACAGAUGCUGCAUCCAAACUCUUCCAUUGGGUUCCAGUCUGUUCCAGUCAUGCCCUUGAGCCUCUAAAGCUCCUAGGUGAGAGACGUAGCAGCUGACAGCACUUCCCACUUGAUUUGGGUGGACUCCAGCCUCCCCAGCAACAAUAAGAGAUCAAAAGCAUCGUUGAGGAAGCAGCUUGCUGAAACGCUGAGUGCCCGCCACUCUCAGGUCAGGUGGGACCGGCAGGCCAGCAUGAGUUCCUGAACACUUGGUUCUCAAUACUGGCCACAGCCACACUGUAAGGGGAAACAAGAGGGCACUGUAUGCAAACAUCUCUUGAACUCUGGAGUCUGCUCACCUUCCUGCCUCAAGCCCCUCUCCCACGUGGUCCAGUCACCAUUCUCCACAGAGACUACCCUAAAACCCAGCGACUCUCGUGUGCCUGCAGAAUGGCACAGCCCGUUCUCAUAGCAGCACUCCUGUUUAAUCAGAGGGAUGUUAACGACCAAGUCAUAUUUGCUCGAUUUGUGUUCAACAUAUUUCAUUUGUACCGAUAAAACUUAAAAAUAUCCCCACACAUGCAUUGCCUAUUAAAGAGUAUCUUCCAGGUACACCUCCCUUACACAUCAGUUAACUUGAUAAUUUCUUCCCAUUCUUGUGCAAUAAAUUUCCUUCCUGAUCAGCUCUGUCCAGCAGCAACAAUAAUCCACGUAGAGACAUGCAAACUAAAAGUCCGUUAGUGGAGGCACGAAGCUGAUGAGGCUUGGAAAAAAAUGACCGAUUUGAUUAAAAUUAGGACCCAUGGGAGUGGAGCUCUGCCUAUUUUAGAGGCAAAGUAAAUGCCUGGGAGUCCAAUCACCGACAUUCUGUUUGAGGUUUCUAAUCACAAGGAAGAUGGAGAAAAUGCAGAACAAGUGGUCAAGAACAGGGAGAUAAUAAAUAGAAUAUUUAUGGGCUGAGGAAAACAAUUACCAGGGGAAAGCCCAAGAAGCAAAGAUGAACAGAGAACGUGCUGACUGCGCUCGUUUGGAAAGGCCUCAUGGCCAAAGGAGGAGAGGCAUUAUGAGGAGCAGUGACCGAGUGGGCAGGACCCCCGGGGAUCAGGAAAGGUGCACGGGGGGAAAUGAGAGGCCUGAGCGGCUUCCCAGCGAAGGUUUUUGAAGCACGGUUUGAUUUUCUCUCUCCCCCUCACCAUCCCCAAAUUUUAGUUGUGACUAUCUCCAGGUACAUGGCUUGCGACAGGCGGUGUAUAAAAACUAAUGUCAGUUUAAUUUUAAAACCUUAGCCAUUUUCUGGAACUUAAAUAUCAAAGAGAAAAUGUCCACAUAUGAUGUUAAUUGAGGUUUGUCUCACUGGUGAUUUGUGCUGAUUCAAUUCCUGUUUCUUUUUUUUUUUCUUAAGGGGUCAGUUUUAGAAUUGGGAGAUAGGUGUAUAACAUAUGACUAUACAGCGCAGGUUGGUUUUUUAACAUAGAAAUAUCUGCCUUUAAAUGAGAACUGAAAACGGAGCUUCUUGGAGGCCACCUGCUGGUGGCAGUGAUCUGACCGCUGUUUAAGCUUUCUUUGAACUCCUUUUUUUAAAACAGCCUCCAUAAUCAAUGGUGUACGAUCUACUCUCGUGGUAAAACUUACUCAGUGAAGAGUGUGUUUUAUUUUCUGAGGAGCUGAACUGUUCCAACCUGAGUAUUCUGAAUAAGGACAGUGGUCGAGCAUGAGUGAUGCCAUCUGGGCUUAGAAAUAAGUGGGCCUAAAAUCUGAUUGUUUUCAUACAUUGUUCAGAUAUUGACGCAAAUAGCAAUUUAUUUUGUAAAAAAUGAUUGGUAUCCGGAACUUGCAACAGCUGUGUGUGGCUUGAAGGGAGAUGAAGUGGUGAAGGCCUGGUUUCCACCGAAGCUCUCACAGCCCAGCCUUUCACUGUGUGGCCGGGGGAAGGGUGCUCCGGGUGGGGGACGGGAAUGGUGGGACUGGGGAUGCCACGGGACAAGGCUGCUGGCCUGGAAGGUAGUCACGUGGAGAACCGCAGGAGAUGAGAUUGGAAAGUAGUAAUAAGCCAUGUGGAUAAGAACAGAGGAGCGGGUUUUAAGGGGGACGUCCUGAAAUGCUGCUCAUGUCGUUUCAGUUCCAUAGACCACAGGAAAUGCAGGUGAGAGGGCAGCCCGGUGGGAAGGAAGGAAGAGGGUGGUGGUGAGCCAGGUGAGUGUGGAGCCGCCCAGGGCACCGUGCUGUGCGAUAGCUCAGGCAUCGGGUGCUUCUGCCAAACCCUUCAGCAGCUGGUUUGGGGCCAAACGUCCUUCCUGUGUGAGAGAAGGCAGAGCCUAGGCAGCAUUCCAAACCCCAUCCAGAUGGGAGGCUGAGUGCAGAGCAAACGGAGCCCAGCACUCCAGAGCCGUGUCCCUUCACUGCCAUGAUCACAUCACAAACAGCGAGGCUUGGAGAGGACUUAAGAGCUCCUUCAAUGCCAUCUUCCAUCCACUGCGUGAGCCAGAAUAGAAAAAAAGGAAUAAGAAGAGGUCGGUUAAGCUCUCUAUUAAGUUGAGAAAAUGGGAACUUCAGGUGAUCAUGUGAGAUAUUCAAGUUAAAAAAAUUAUUUAAAAAGCACAUUCUUAUUAUUAAAAUUUUAGAAAGUACAGAGAAGGAAAUUUUAAUAACCUACACCUAGAACACUAAGAUACUGGUAACGUAGAAAAAUGUGUAGUUAAUGCCUUGAUGGAUUCUUUUCUAUUUUUUUCUCUAGCAAUAUUUAUGUCUAUCCACAGAAAGCGUACACUC
ensembl:lncRNA LINC01128 long intergenic non-protein coding RNA 1128